CGUGUGCAUGCCUAGCCCUUCAACUUCUUCUUCUUCUUCUUCUUCAUCAAUGCAGCAAGGAGAAGAAUAGUUGUUCAUUCUCAAAUACCCAUGGCACUUCUUGAACUCAGGAAGGCUUGGCAAGAAGUGUGUGCAGAAGCGAAGAAGUCGGGUCCGGAUACGCGUAGGCUCUCGAAGAAGGGGGAGGCGAUGAAAUGGGGAGUGUAUGUUUUCACAGCUGAUGAAGGGCCUGCUUUGUGCUUCACCUCUGAAGGGAGGUUGAAAAUCUGGGUAGAUGAAGAAUGCAGUUUCUUCAUUAACUCUUUGGGAAUUCCAUGGUUGGUGAUGUGGAAAAAUCCCCAUUCUCUGCAGGCUAGAGAGAGGGAGGAGAGAGAGGAUGAGCUAAGGGGCUGUGAGAUGUCGAAGAUAGGAAGGUGUACAGACAUGAUGAUGGGAUAUGAGAUUUUGAGUUUGUCUGUUUGUUAAAUAGACCAAUCAUUAUCAAUCCCUUGCAAUACCAGAUUUCAAAAUUUAUACUAGGAAAGUUUAAUUCCUACACAGAUUACAACUUGGCUUUGAAUACCUGUGUUGUGACUUUAUGAGGCUGAGGUCAAUGAAGAGGCAGUUGGUAAUAACAUGAAGGCGGGGGGACAGCGAGCAGGAACAAUGGAGCUUUUGCUGCUAAUUCAUGUUUUGUCAAACAUAUUGUUGUGUGCUUAGAUUCUUCAUCUCUAAGUUUGAAUUUGCACCAAUUAAGCUCGCGGACUAGUCAAACAUAGGUUUAUUUGUGGGACAUUAUGAGAGUAUAAAAAUUAGGGUUAAUGGUAAUUUUAUACCCAUUA